rnacentral:rRNA from 1 species
AUUGAACGCUGGCGGCAGGCCUAACACAUGCAAGUCGAACGAGUGGCGGACGGGUGAGUAAUGUCUGGGAAACUGCCCGAUGGAGGGGGAUAACUACUGGAAACGGUAGCUACUACCGCAUACCAUCGGAUGUGCCCAGAUGGGAUUAGCUAGUAGGUGGGGUAACGGCUCACCUAGGCGACGAUCCCUAGCUGGUCUGAGAGGAUGACCGGCCACCCGGGAACUGAGACAGGGGCCAAACUCCUACGGGAGGCAGCAGUGGGAAAUAUUGCAAAAGGGGCGCAAGCCUGAUGCAGCCAUGCCGCGUGGAGGAAGAAGGCUUUCGGGGUGUAAAGUACUUUCAGCGAGGAGACGUUACUAGCAGAAGAAGCACCGGCUAACUCCGUGCCAGCAGCCGCGGUAAUU